rnacentral:rRNA from 1 species
GUAUAGAGAGAUAGACAUUUCCUAUCUAUGUCGUCUUGACCAAAUUACAGUGCCAGCAGUCGCGGUAACACNGUAAAAGACUAGUGUUAUUCAUCUUUAAUAUGUUUAAAGGGUACCUAGACGGUAAAUCAAGUCCGACAAGGAUACUAAUUUGACUAGAGUUUUAUGUGAGGGGGCACGAAAGUACUGAUAAGUGUAGAGAUGAAAUUCUGUGAUACAAUAUACGGCACUGGUAAAGGCGAAAGCAUCCUCAUUAUGUAAUAACUGACGUUGAGGGACGAAGGCUAUGUGUAGCAAAAAGGAUUAGAUACCCAAGUAGUCUUAGCAGAAAAUUAUGAAUGUCAUAGGAUGGAAAGUUGGUAGGAACCACAAAUUUUUUCUAUAAAUGAAAGUGUAAGCAUUCCACCUCGAGAGUAAUUUGGCAACAUUGGAACUGAAAUCAUUAGACCGUUUCUGAAACAAGUAGUGAAGUAUGUUGUUUAAUUUGAUGGUCCGCAAAAAACCUUACCACAAUUUGAAUAGAAUUUUUUUUUUUCGAC